AUUGAACGCUGGCGGCAUGCCUUACACAUGCAAGUCGAACGGCAGCACGGGAGCAAUCCUGGUGGCGAGUGGCGAACGGGUGAGUAAUAUAUCGGAACGUGCCCAAUCGUGGGGGAUAACGUAGCGAAAGUUACGCUAAUACCGCAUACGAUCUACGGAUGAAAGCGGGGGAUCGCAAGACCUCGCGCGAAUGGAGCGGCCGAUAUCAGAUUAGGUAGUUGGUGAGGUAAAGGCUCACCAAGCCGACGAUCUGUAGCUGGUCUGAGAGGACGACCAGCCACACUGGGACUGAGAGACGGCCCAGACUCCUACGGGAGGCAGCAGUGGGGAAUUUUGGACAAUGGGCGCAAGCCUGAUCCAGCAAUGCCGCGUGCAGGAUGAAGGCCUUCGGGUUGUAAACUGCUUUUGUACGGAACGAAACGGCGAGCUCUAAUACAGUUUGCUAAUGACGGUACCGUAAGAAUAAGCACCGGCUAACUACGUGCCAGCAGCCGCCGUAAAAC
rnacentral:rRNA from 1 species